CUUCCGUAGGUGAACCUGCGGAAGGAUCAUUAAAGAGUAAGGGUGCUCAGCGCCCGACCUCCAACCCUUUGUUGUUAAAACUACCUUGUUGCUUUGGCGGGACCGCUCGGUCUCGAGCCGCUGGGGAUUCGUCCCAGGCGAGCGCCCGCCAGAGUUAAACCAAACUCUUGUUAUUAAACCGGUCGUCUGAGUUAAAAUUUUGAAUAAAUCAAAACUUUCAACAACGGAUCUCUUGGUUCUCGCAUCGAUGAAGAACGCAGCGAAAUGCGAUAAGUAAUGUGAAUUGCAGAAUUCAGUGAAUCAUCGAAUCUUUGAACGCACAUUGCGCCCCUUGGUAUUCCGAGGGGCAUGCCUGUUCGAGCGUCAUUACACCACUCAAGCUAUGCUUGGUAUUGGGUGCCGUCCUUAGUUGGGCGCGCCUUAAAGACCUCGGCGAGGCCUCACCGGCUUUAGGCGUAGUAGAAUUUAUUCGAACGUCUGUCAAAGGAGAGGACUUCUGCCGACUGAAACCUUUUAUUUUUCUAGGUUGACCUCGGAUCAGGUAGGGAUACCCGCUGAACUUAAGCAUAUCAAUAAGCGGAGGAAAA
rnacentral:rRNA from 1 species